GUGCUUGCUUCAGCAGCAUAUAUACAAAAAUUGGAAUGGUACAGAGAAGAUUAACAUGGCCCCUGCAAAAGGAUGACACACAUAUUUGUGAAGUGUUCCAUAUUUCU